UUUCUUAUUUUUAUCGUUGUUAUUCUCGUGUUCUGAUUGCUUGACGUGUGGUAAUUAACAGAUAUCCGGGUCCUCUGGGAAACUAGGGUUUUCUUAGUUUCCUUAUUUAAACGGAAAUCGACAGUGCGAAUUUCGGUUCCCACAAUAAUUGAUUGUGGUGUAGUGCUAGAAACAAUUUUUAACAUGGUGAGUGGCAGUGGAUUUGAUCCUUACAUGUUACAUUUAAACACAAAAUAUAUUUAUAAGUUUUUGGGUUUUGGGCGUUAAACAUGAUGGACUAGGCCUGUAUAUAUGUGUGUAUAUUAUAUACACAUUAAAAUUUAUAGUCUAUAUUUUUUAUGAUCUACCUUGUGAUUAAAAAAACAAUAUAUGUAUAUAUAAAUAUAAAUAUAAAUUUUAAUUAAUUUUGUUAUAAUUUAGGGGUUAUAUGAUGAGUAGCUCAAUAUGUAUAGUUUUUCAAAAAAGGUUAUUUGUUCAUACAUGUAGUAGCUAUAUUAUUAAAACUAAAGUACAUUUGAGAAUUGUUUGGAAACAUAAAUAGUAAUAUAAAAAAGAGUAUAAUGUUUGGAAACAUGGAUAACAAUACAAAAAGUAGUGUCUUUUUAAAUAAAAUUAACCUUAUUUUUAACAGAUUUAUUAUAUUUUUUUUCUUUAUUUUCAUUCAUCUUAACUACUUUAUUAACUAUUUUAGUUUAGCAAUACAUCAAAUCAUAUAACUAUUUUAUUAAAUAUUUUUUUUCUAUUUCAUUUAAUUUAUCCAAACAUAUAAUUAAUUGUAUUCAAAAGAUCGGGUAAUAUACUUAUUUUGGAUACUCUCAGGUUUAGAUGGUUCGAUUCAAAUAACCACUGUAUCUGAAAUGGGUUUGGAAUAUUUGUAUCACAAAAACUAUAUUAUCCGAUAUUUUGAAUACAAUUAAUUAUAUGACAACACAUCUAAAAUAUAUAACACUAAUCAUAAAAAAAAAAAAUAUUAAUUUACAAAAAUAAAAUAACGAAUACCUGCGUGCGCGUGGAUCAAGCUCUACUCCACCUUUAAUUUCACAAUAGUCAAUUAUAUAUGUAAUCUCAAUGAAUCAAAAUUAUUCAGUAACUUCCUCAUUGAUAUUUUAUUUAGAUUUACUUAUAAUAUUUAUUUAUAUUAUUUUAAAAAUAAAAUUAUCUUAAGUAUAUCAAAAAUGUGUUUGUUUAUUUAUAAAAAUUAAGUUUAAAUUAAUAUUUUUGCAACAAAUUAUAUUGGAUAGCUAUUACCAUUAGCGUCAAGCUCCUCAUCUCCUCUGAUCGCCAACUGUUAAUGGCUAGGAGUUAUCCUCUUCACUUUCAGAUCUUUGCUUGUGAUCCCAAUGUUCGAACUACUUGGAAUGCAUAUUGCUAACUUAAAUUUAUUCUUAAAUGGACUAGACAGGGGCGGAUCCAAGAUGGUUUUUUGUAUGGGGCACUUAACCAUUUCUAUAACUAAAAGCUUAAUAUAAGUGUACUUAAUUAAAUUUAACACUAGAUGUCAAUGAACAAACACUAGUAGAAAAUUGUGAUAUAGACACGGUCUAGUCACGAUAGGAUCGUGUCUUUUUUCUACUUAGUCACAGAAUAGUCAUAGUUAGUCACAAAAACUGUAAACGUGACAAAUCGUGUCAAUUUCGUGGCUAAUAAGAUACGUUUUUGUCAAGUUAGUUUAUUGUGACUAAAAAUAGUCACGUUUUGUGAGGACUAUAAUUAAAAAAUGGGUAUAGCUGUGAUUUUAGUCACUAAAUAGACACAAACUGAAACGUGACCAGGUUGAUGUUAAAUGAAACCCUAAACCCUAAAUACAAAUUAUAAACUAUAACCCUAAUUAUAAGAAAUCUAACUAGUGAGAAAGAAACAAAAAAAAGAAAUCAAACUAUUAUGACAUAACCAAAAACUAAAAUCUAACUCUUUUAAAAGUUGCAAAUAUAAAUUUUCAACUUAUAACCCCCAUUUCAAAAAAAAACUUUAUACUUAACCCCAAACCCUCCAAACCUCAAAUCUUAAAUCACAAAGUUUAAAUAUUAAAGUUUAAACAAUUUAAGAUUAACAUCAAUAUAUAAUCAUGAUUAUAUAUACAAAUAUUUAGAAUCAUAUCCAUUGAAACAUUUUUUUGAAACUUUAGCCAAAUCCACAUCAUGACUAAAUUCUAAAACUCAAACCCUAUUUUCAAAACUCAAACCCUAGCUUAUAAACAUAAUCCUUAAACCUUAAAUUUUGUAGUAUUUAAAUUCUCUAAUAAAUAUAAAACAAAUCCAAUCAAUAAAUUCUUUUAUUUAGAUAUUUAUAGUUUUACAAAUACAACUAAUAGGAAAGUAUUACUUGUUCUCUCAAAGAAAAAAAGUAUUACUCUUUCUUUUAUUUCUUUCUUCUUUUCAAUCCAUUGCUCGAGAAUCAAACACGUCACAUGUUUAAAGUGUUUACUCUUUCUUUUCUUUCUUUCAUUUCAAUGCCCUUCUUAUUUCUUAUUGGUCAAUCCAUUAGGUGAUGGAUUGCCAUCCUAACCAUUGAUUGAAAUAAUCUAACGGUCCAGAUAUCUUUAAUUGUGUUUCUUCCUGUCUUCUCACGUGUGUUCUUUCUUCUUCCCAUGUCUCUCUCUCUCCCUCUCGGGUCAUUUGCUUGUCUGUUUUUUGGUUCUUUCAACUUCUAAUAACUAAUUCAAUAAUCAAUAACCCCUCUAUGUAUUUCUUCCUCAUUGUAUUUUACUGAGUUUGAAUCAGUUUUUGUGCAGGACGUGGUGAUGCCGGAAGAGCUUGCGAAGGUCAUUGACACGGCCAUCGGAACACGCCAUCGAAGCUUGCGGGGGAGGAGGUAGCUCGAAGACGGAGGAGGCAAGCGUGUUCUCCUCAGAUACAACAGCGUCGGCAUUAACUCCAUUACGAAGAGGAAGGAGGAAGAAGAAGAGAAAGAAGAAAAGAAAGAGGAAGAAGAAGAAGAAGAAGAGAAAGAGAAAGAAGAAGAGGAAGAUGCCGCCGGAGACGGUCACCUGUGGUGGCCGGGAAGUGUAGAUUUAGAGAUGUAUUUUUAUAUUUAUAUAAUACAUGUAUAUUCACAUAAGUAUAUAUACAUGUAUUUAUACUUUGUAUUUCAUUUUAUAAUUAACUAAUUAAAAAUUUAUAUAAUUUUUUUUUUAAUU